rnacentral:rRNA from 1 species
AACAAGGUCUCCGUUGGUGAACCAGCGGAGGGAUCAUUACCGAGUUUACAACUCCCAAACCCAAUGUGAACGUUACCAAACUGUUGCCUCGGCGGGAUCUCUGCCCCGGGUGCGUCGCAGCCCCGGACCAAGGCGCCCGCCGGAGGACCAACCAAAACUCUUAUUGUAUACCCCCUCGCGGGUUUUUUUAUAAUCUGAGCCUUCUCGGCGCCUCUCGUAGGCGUUUCGAAAAUGAAUCAAAACUUUCAACAACGGAUCUCUUGGUUCUGGCAUCGAUGAAGAACGCAGCGAAAUGCGAUAAGUAAUGUGAAUUGCAGAAUUCAGUGAAUCAUCGAAUCUUUGAACGCACAUUGCGCCCGCCAGUAUUCUGGCGGGCAUGCCUGUCCGAGCGUCAUUUCAACCCUCGAACCCCUCCGGGGGGUCGGCGUUGGGGAUCGGCCCUGCCUUGGCGGUGGCCGUCUCCGAAAUACAGUGGCGGUCUCGCCGCAGCCUCUCCUGCGCAGUAGUUUGCACACUCGCAUCGGGAGCGCGGCGCGUCCACAGCCGUUAAACACCCAACUUCUGAAAUGUUGACCUCGGAUCAGGUAGGA